rnacentral:rRNA from 1 species
UACGUAGGGGGCUAGCGUUGUCCGGAAUCAUUGGGCGUAAAGAGCGUGUAGGCGGCCCGGUAAGUCCGCUGUGAAAGUCGGGGGCUCAACCCUCGAAUGCCGGUGGAUACUGUCGGGCUAGAGUGCGGAAGAGGCGAGUGGAAUUCCUGGUGUAGCGGUGAAAUGCGCAGAUAUUAGGAGGAACACCAAUUGCGAAGGCAGCUCGCUGGGACGUAACGUGACGCUGAGACGCGAAAGCGUGGGGAGCAAACAGGG